UUACGUUUGAAAUAUAUUUUUGUAAAAUGAUCGAGAAGAUUGAUGCAAUGUUUCGAUGAAUUUAUCAAAACUGUACGUUCUCCAUUGAAUAGAGUAAUUUUUCCAUACGUAAGAAAUGUCUCAACGCGUAUAGCAUCAUGACUGGCGCGAUCGUAGAGGAAAAGGAAAUAAAAGCUUGCAACAUCUUUGCUCUGUCUCAACUCUAUUAAAUAGUUUUGUAACAUUAAUCUUCCAUUACGCGCAAGCUUUUAUUAGGAAUCGAACAUGCAAGAAACCUUAACAAUGAUCUAUUGCAUAGGUGCUUGAUAACGUCUGAUCAUAAAGCUUUUGCAAGCUGCUUGAUUUUUAAACGUUCAUCUCGGCAUUGUAUUGAAAUCGAAGUAAACAAAUUUGAAGCGUUUGACUUAUUUAACUCUGUCAAUUAAACUAUGCUAACAUGAUUUGUAUCCGUCAUAAAAUCGUUGUUUCAGUCUUAUCUUAUCAGUAUAAGCAUUAAUUUUUCUCUGCUAUCAGCAUUCACAUAUUGUAGGAAUUUUUGUUUCGAUAUCUGAAUAAUCUCUGAAGUUUCUCUUUGUAACAUUGUGCUACUAUAGUUGAAACCAGCAAUUUCUGGUUGAUUUUUUAGUGUUUGUCUAAUUGAUACGAGAGGGAGAGAAUAGACAUUAAUGACAAUUUAAUUCGAGCGCUGAGUCACGUCUUGUUCUUAUGCUCUUAUAUAUAUGUAUAUGGCAGUACAAGAGGCCAAAAGGUCAGGCUAACGAAUGAAAGUGGUUACGUGGCAGCAACGUGACUGAUCAUCGCAAUCUUGUACUAUGACAGAAAA